rnacentral:lncRNA from 1 species
GAACAAGAGUUAAAUAUAGGCAUGCACAUGUUUCUUUGGAAUCCUCUCCAUGGCACAAAGGGGAAGGUAAGAUGCCUUUUUCACCUUUGGCACAGCAGUGCCUCGUAGCUUCUGUACCAUCUUUUUAACCCCAAAACCUAAGGGAGGGGAGUGCAGUGCUGCCAGGCAGAUGCCCUCCUGCCCAGCUCUGCCUCCUGUGCUCACCAUUUCAGUGAGAUAAGAAGUUAGGCACAAGUUUCAGUUUCUUUACGAAUGGGCAGGAAUAUUGGAAAUCAGGUCCUUAGGGUCUAACCUCCAUCUGGGCCUGCAGCACUCCCAGGCUGCAGCACUCUGGCAGAGCGAGCAGGCUGAAAAAUACCCCAGUUCUCCUUGGAAAAGCCACCGCUUUGGGGUGGUCACUAUUAAGUGGUUAAGCGGAAUAAUAGCAAAUUCCCUUUGCGAUACAGAGCCAUGGGAUGGCAGCCAGGUGAUGCUCUUCUUUUUCCUGGGCACUGCAGGAAGAGGAGGAGGAGGAGGAAGGCUGGCAGACAGCAGGACGUCUGUCUGACCUGUCUGUUGUCCUCAGGUGGGCAGGAUGGAGGGGUGCAGAGGGCAGUGUGUGCCCACACAAGGACCGAAUCAGCACGGACACUGAUCAAUAGGCAAUCGUACAUGACAACAAAAUAUUGGAUCUCGCCUGCAGCGCUGCGUAGCCUUUUUCUUUAAUGUGCUGGCACCGAGAAAGAAACUUCCCCAAGUUGUGCGAAUCGCUGCUGGUCAAACGAGAGCCUCGCUGUAGCAUGAAAUGCGAAGUGGCACCUCGGGUACAGCUAAUGGAGCCAUCACGGUCCUAAAAGUUACUUAGGGCACCUCAAAGGGAUGAGCUCCUUCGCGUUCAGCCUCCUGGGGAUGUGUUUCGUUGCUUGUCCCUUCGGGCUCGCUGUUCAUCGCCAGGCACUGGGACUACGUACGAGCACACUGGGAGGAAGCCCGGACAAUGCGUCAUGUCAGGUGAGGGUAAUGCUGAGCUCGUCCUGACCUUGAACACUGCAGCUUUACACAGAGCAGGAUCUCAGGGAUCAGCUGGCAUGGAAAGGGUUCAGCUCAGGCCAGGCACCGGAGUGCUGCUGGAGCAGGAUCGGUGCUGGUGAACCCCACGGCGCUUCUUGGUGCAGCAGAACCAGCACCACAGGGUGCAGGGAGGACGAGGGAGGGGUAAACCCAAACGCAGGCAGCCUCUGCCCCCAAACCUGGUGCAAAG